UAGGAUGUAGCAUAAUUNAAUGUAUUUCACUUACACUGAAAUGAUACUUUGGUAUAAGUCGUCUUAA
rnacentral:tRNA from 1 species